UAAAUGCAUUAUCUGGUAUGUA
rnacentral:miRNA from 1 species